AUCCUUAUGCACGGGAAAUACGCAUAUCAGUGAGGAUUCGUCCGAGAUUGUGUUUUUGCUGGUUGAAAUUUUAAUUUUAACCUGACCCGCUCCUCAUCGUCGAUAUUGGAAUCUUCGCUAUAGAAUUUUCCAUGACAAUGUAGGGAAUUUUUGGACUCUCUCAAA
rnacentral:snRNA from 1 species